rnacentral:tRNA from 1 species
GGCCUAUAGCUCAGCUGUUAGAGCGCACGCCUGAUAAGCGUGAGGUCGUGGUUCGAGUCCACUUAGGCCACCA